rnacentral:rRNA from 1 species
CUACGGGAGCAGCAGUGGGGAAUUUUGCGCAAUGGGGGAAACCCUGACGCAGCAAUACCGCGUGAGUGAAGAAGGCCUUUGGGUCGUAAAGCUCUUUUCUUGGGGAAGAUAGUGACGGUACCCAAGGAGUAAGCACCGGCUAACUCCGUGCCAGCAGCCGCGGUAAUACGGAGGGUGCAAGCGUUGUUCGGAUUUACUGGGCGUAAAGGGCACGUAGGCGGCACAGCAAGUUAAGGGUGAAAUCCCGGGGCUCAACUCCGGAACUGCUCUUAAAACUGCUGAGCUAGAGAUAGUCAGAGGCGGGUGGAAUUCCAGGUGUAGAGGUGAAAUUCGUAGAUAUCUGGAGGAACACCGGUGGCGAAGGCGGCCCGCUGGGGCUAUUCUGACGCUAAGGUGCGAAAGCGUGGGGAGCAAACGGGAUUAGAUACCCCUGUAGUC